CUACAUGUCCAAGUCCCUGAUGAAGAUCCUCAACAAGAAGAACAAAGCCCCCAAAGCGGAGGCAAAGUAACCCGUGUCCCCCCCUCCCCCCCCAUCUACCCCUUCCCGAUCUCCCCCUCCCCCCCCUCCAUCCCUCCCCAUCUCCCCCUCCCCACGAUGGUCGCCGAUGACUGCCCCCCACAAGACGGAGAAGACAGUGGGGUGGGGGGCAAGAGGUGACUGCUUAUCCCGUAGAAUCCCACUCGAGUGACCAUUGUCUAUCUUGGCCCCAACGCUGGUCAACAGGUAGAUAGUUCAAGGUGACUGGACAUAGGUUCUACAGUGGAGUCCCACUCGAGUGGCCAUUGACCCCAACGCUGGACAUUAAGUCUUCUUCUGCUUCUGCCGUGUGUCUUUUAGACCCGCAGCUCCGUUGAGGCGAGGCGAGCCAAGCCAACGUGUCAUCGUCCAGGCCAACCGGACCUCGUUGACCAUUCGGUGGCCGGUGUUAUGGGGGCAACUGGUGACCAUGUGACAUUAGGUUGAGGUGGCCGCAGACAAAGUCCCAUUGUCUGUCUUGGCCCCAACACUGGUCAACAGGCCUUGACCACCUUGGCACACACCACAGUCUGUCUUUCCACUGGCUUGGGUGGGGCAUGACUGAGGAUUGGUUCCCCCCCCCCCCCCCCCCAAUCCUGGCCGCUGGAUUUUACCCCUCCCCGUCAGCCCGCCCAACCCCCAAAAGACCACCCAACCUUCCAAUGAGACCGCAUCACACUUUACUGACCAUGUGGGACAGUGUCUGCAUAAGGCCAGCUCAGAGUGUCUCCAACAGCGGCCAGCUCAGAGCAGAAAUAUUACUGAUGGCUGGAUGUCCCAAAUCUCGUCUCCUGCCCCCACCCUCCCCAACCUCCCCCACACCUCAACCAGGUAGAGGGGGAAGGGGUAAAUAAUACCUGCACUUAUCGCACUUGUGCCUUUACAUUGACACUUUGGUUUGCACAAGCAAUGUGUUAAUAGAUGUACAUGCUUUUAAAUUUAAUGAUGUUAUUUACAUUUUGAACUAAUAAAAAUGAUUAUUGAUUGA